rnacentral:lncRNA from 1 species
UCACUCCAGCUCUGGUCUAUCCUCCCGUCACUCCAGCUCUGGUCUCUCCUCCCGUCACUCCAGCUCUGGUCUAUCCUCCCGUCACUCCAGCUCUGGUCUCUCCUCCCGUCACUCCAGCUCUGGUCUCUCCUCCCGUCACUCCAGCUCUGGUCUAUCCUCCCGUCACUCCAGCUCUGGUCUAUCCUCCCGUCACUCCAGCUCUGGUCUAUCCUCCCGUCACUCCAGCUCUGGUCUAUCCUCCCGUCACUCCAGCUCUGGUCUAUCCUCCCGUCACUCCAGCUCUGGUCUAUCCUCCCGUCACUCCAGCUCUGGUCUAUCCUCCCGUCACUCCAGCUCUGGUCUAUCCUCCCGUCACUCCAGCUCUGGUCUAUCCUCCCGUCACUCCAGCUCUGGUCUAUCCUCCCGUCACUCCAGCUCUGGUCUAUCCUCCUGUCACUCCAGCUCUGGUCUAUCCUCCUGUCACUGCAGCUCUGGUCUAUCCUCCUGUCACUCCAGCUCUGGUCUAUCCUCCUGUCAUUCCAGCUCUGGUCUAUCCUCCUGUCACUCCAGCUCUGGUCUAUCCUCCUGUCACUGCAGCUUUGGUCUAUCCUCCUGUCACUCCAGCUCUGGUCUAUCCUCCUGUCACUCCAGCUCUGGUCUAUCCUCCUGUCAUUCCAGCUCUGGUCUAUCCUCCUGUCACUCCAGCUCUGGUCUAUCCUCCUGUCACUCCAGCUCUGGUCUAUCCUCCUGUCACUCCAGCUUUGUUGCCAUUCCUUCUCUUUAACUGACAGGGUUCACAGUAGAGUACUCUGUCCCUUUUAGCCAAAAUAUCUUAAUAGCAUUAUUCAUGUUCCCAGAUCUCUUCCAUUUUACUGUGAGUUUACAAGGUAUUGAAGUAUCAACAGGAGGAGCAUUAACAGUGAGGAAAAGCUUUUCUCACUCUCAUCUACUCAGUUUUCCCUGAUGAGUUGACAGGAAUGAAGUCAAGUCAGCUGGUGGCACCCUUCAGGACCCAAAGGCCUAUUCCCUAAAUGCUUACCUGACUUGGCCACUGGCUAACUCAGGACUUUGCAGACAUACAGCACGUCUCUCUUCCUCUGUCAAGGUAGCUAUGAGAGAAGUGUUGGUGUGGCACUGUGAAAUCCUCCAGCCCUUACCUGUGACAUCAGGGCCAAAGAAUCCAUGUAACAGUCUUCCCCCUGCUGAAACUUGGGAUCUCCUGACAGGAGCCCAGCAAAAUCAUCUCGGAGAUGCAAGUGACAGAGAGCUAAUGUGGACCUGGUUCCAGCCUAGCAGUGGCACUAUAAAUGUUACUUGUACCCUGGAAGCUAAUCAUCCCUGUAGUCAACUACUACCACAGAUACAUGUCCUCAUGGAGCUUUCGUAACUCUUUACGGAAC